rnacentral:ncRNA from 1 species
UAAGCCCUGUCGUCUCCGAAGCCUUACGUUCCAAUGUAGGGUAUUGAUGUAGAAGCGACGGGGCUUU